GAUGAACGCUGGCGGCGUGCCUAAUACAUGCAAGUCGAGCGAACGGACGAGAAGCUUGCUUUUCUGAUGUUAGCGGCGGACGGGUGAGUAACACGUGGAUAACCUACCUAUAAGACUGGGAUAACUUCGGGAAACCGGAGCUCAUACCGGAUAAUAUUUUGAACCGCAUGGUUCAAAAGUGAAAGCCGGUCUUGCUGUCACUUAUAGAUGGAUCCGCGCUGCAUUAGCUAGUUGGUAAGGUAACGGCUUACCAAGGCAACGAUGCAUAGCCGACCUGAGAGGGUGAUCGGCCACACUGGAACUGAGACACGGUCCAGACUCCUACGGGAGGCAGCAGUAGGGAAUAUUCCGCAAUGGGCGAAAGCCUGACGGAGCAACGCCGCGUGAGUGAUGAAGGUCUUCGGAUCGUAAAACUCUGUUAUUAGGGAAGAACAUAUGUGUAAGUAAAUCUGCACAUCUUGACGGUACCUAAUCAGAAAGCAACGGCUAACUACGUG
rnacentral:rRNA from 1 species